rnacentral:lncRNA from 10 species
GAGACCCGAGACUGCGUCGCCGGCGGGUGCGCCCAGGUCGCCCAGCUAGAGCCGGCAGGAUCCCGCCGCCGGGUUGUGGGUUUUUGACUCUCCCUCCGCUGUCGGGAGAAGCGCCUGAGUGGGGAGGGAGGUGGGAGGAGGUGGCCCCGCGUCGGGGGUGCGGGGAGCGGGACGGCGGCUUGGAUGGACACGGUCAGCCCCGGGCCGGAGAGGGUUCGGCUCAGAGCAGCCUGGGUUCUGUUCAGAGCCCUACUGUGCACGUUUCCGCGAGGAUCUGCGGAGAGACGUGCAGGCGACGCAGGCCCCGGGAAGGAAGGAGGGUACCUGGGCUCGGACGAGCGAUAACGCUGUGUUCUGUGACUCCGUACAAACGGAUCCUGGAGUCCAGGGAAAGCGUCCCAGGCCCCCAGCCCGGGCAGGGUUCGUGGGAUUGGCGUCCGCUGCCCCAGGCUUACCCCGAAUGGAGGAGUGACCCCUGUCCCCUGAGCUGGGUCGCAUUGAGGGGAAAUGCCAGGACACCCGCACCAGGGCCCAGGCACUGAAAUCUGGAGCGGAGCACAGCCAGGCGGCUUGGCCUGUGCCCCGCGCCCUCCCCAGAGGGGGUCUUCUUCCAGGCUGGAGCGCACAUCUCCCCUGGAGCAGGGGGUGAGGGAAGGGCCUCCUGUGCCCUCAGUCAGGCCCUGUAGGGCAGCAAGGGUGGAGAAUGCCUGGACCUUCUUAUCUUGUUACCCCGAUUGCCUUCACCACGGCAGGGGAAAAAGUGACAAAACUGCCUUUGGGAUGCCAAAGAGCUGGUGAGUGUCGCUUUCUCUGUAACAGAAACAUGUAAAGCGGGUUGUCUGUUUCUAGGUGGAGGACUUUGGUCCGCUGUGUCCUGCAUCUUCUUUAAAAGUAAUAGACACAGUCUUAAUUCACUGAGAAGGAGGCACAUAUGGGUGUCAGCAGUCCCAGGCCUCAGGGAACGUGCUUCUCACAUUUUCCUAAGUUUCCAAACCUUGUCAAAGUGAAAUCACAAACUAGAAUAAAAACAGAGGCAAAGCAGCCCCUGGCCGUGAGAUUUCAAAGGGCCUCUCCCUGCAGGGUCCAGUCCAUCCCUGCAGGGUAAGUGGAGCCCUGGGCAUAAAUAAGGCACAGCAUGGCAGAGGAGCCAGCACCAGGGAACACAGUCUUGUCACAAACAUCCCAGGAUCUGCUGGAGUCCUGCCGGGCCAGCAUGGGCCUUCUCAGUCCUCAGGUCCCUGGCACUGUUGUCACCAAAGCCACGAUCCCUCAACUGUUGUUGCCAAAGCCACUAGACAGCAACUUUUAAGACUCCACCCUGGGGUUCCCCACUCCAGGGGUCACCAGAAUUCUGAGGCGGGCACUCUGCUGUGUCCCCUGAGGCCCACAGCAGCCCCAGGGUCUGGGGGACUCAGGGAGGACCUCCUAGCAUCCUGACCUCCUCCAGCCCUGGUUGCAGCCCACAGACCCAGAUCAAUAUGGCCUUAAUGGUGUGGCUCCCAGGGAUUAAGCAGCCAAGGCCAGAGACCUGAAUGGGUUUAGAGGCUGAGAAGGGAUUUAAUCAAGGUAGCCCUCCAUACAGUUCCUCCUGACACCCUCCUCUCCUGUUUCCAGUCCCUGGAGAUGACAAAAAAAAAAAAAAAAACUGAGGCCAGGCACAGUGGCUCAUGCCUGUAAUCCCAGCACAGCACUUUGGGAGUCUGAGGCAGGCAGAUCACCUGAGGUCAGGAGUUCAGGACCAGCCUGACCAACAUGGAGAAACCCCAUCUCUACUAAAAAUACAAAAUUAGCCAGCCUUGGUGGCGAAUGCCUGUAGUCCCAACUAUUCAGGAGGCUGAGGCAGGAGAAUCGCUUGAACCCAGGAGGUAGAGGCUGUGGUGAGCCGAGAUUGCGCCAUUGCACUCCAGCCUGGGCAACAACGAGAGUGAAACUCCAUCUCCAAAAAAACAAAGAAAAAAAAACUGUAAGUCCAUUACAACCAGCAGGGACAAGAUGGGUGCCCUCCGUGGCCCAGAAAUCUGGAGGAGUCCUGGGGAGAUGGGGGUGGGGACGUUGCUCUCGCUGGAGGGAAGAAAUGACAGCCUUGGUGCCCAGAAGUGAAACCUGCUGGCAGGUGAUGGCAGCUCCCAGAGGAGCCAAGGGGCCCUGGGACAGUGGGAGGGGGAUGGCUGGGGUGUCUGUGGGAGGGCAGCCUCACCCUUGGCUGAGUACACUCAGCACAGGCAGUGGACAGAGAAGAGAUCCCAUUGUGGAAUAACACCUGGAGGGAGCGGGGAGUCGUGGGCUCUGAGCCGUCAGCCACAGUUGAGGUGUCUGACCACGUGCUGCUGAUGGACAAGCAGGGAUCCCACACAAAGCUGGGAUCACCAACCCCAAGGACGCACCACAAACUGAAGAACUAACACGAGCGAACUAACUAGCGCAGAGCCGGCGCUGUACAGCGAGAUUGGGUGCCCCUCCUCCUUGGCCUGGGCUAGACUGAAUCUGCCAGGUUCCCUGGCAAGGGGUGUGGCCAGGUGGCCACCUGCAGUGGAGGUGACAGCAGUGACGUGUGCCUCUCCUGUGACUGGCCCAAAAGGCCCUCCAUUAACUUUUCCUUUCCCAGGGCCUGGCAACAACCAGGGUGACACAGGAAGCUUCGCUUGAGGACAGCAGAGUCACCCUCAGCCUAGGGCUCUGAGUGACUGCAAGAAUCAAGGCCAUUGUCAAACGGAAACCCUGCCAUGGUUGUCAAGAGAGAAAUCCACUUCUCUUUUGUUUAGGCAUUUACACCAGCGUCUAUGCCUCAGAGCAGUUUAACUUACAAUUCAAUUAGCAAUUUAAUCAUUGGUUUUUCACUCCCCCGUAGCAGAAUUUUACAUCCGUCUGCUUGCUGUGGUCUCUAGGUGGUGGGUGGGCUCUCCUCCCUUGACUUUGGGCUUGGCGAGUGACGUGCUCUGGCUAGUGGGAAGGUAGCAGAUUUGAAAUGGGCAAAGGUUUGGAAUGUGCCAGCAAGGGCAGCCUGGUCUUCCUGCUUGCCAGGGACCCACUACAAGCAGGCUGUGCCCCAGAGAAGAAUGGAGAACGCAGAUAACUGACGGGGGCUCCAAGAAGCGAGAAACCUGGGCGGACCUCAGCCCAGCCCACAUCCCAGAACCCGGAGGCCAGGGGCUUGGCCAGGUGGAGGUCGGCCCUAGCCCUGUGAGCGUGAGACUCGGCCACCAAGCUUUAAGGUCGUCGUUAUGCAGCACUGUUGUGGCAAAAGCCGACUGAUACACCUGCCCUGGCACUUGGGGAUACAGGGAAACGGAUGUGGUGAAUUGAAGAUGAUGCCACACGUCCCCUGGUGUGCCGAGGUAAAGGCUUGGGAACGCUGGGAAGAGGGAGGAAAGAGCCAGAAGGUUAGCGCGAGGCACUCAUUCCCUGUAGCUUGACUACUGUUUCCAGAAAUUGAGGGCCGGUUUGCAAUUAGAGUUACCCCAGAAAGUUGGGACUCCCAGGUUGAAAAAGCCACUGUUUAUGCCUCAAACAGUAGGAGAAAAGAUGGUGGCUGUUCAAGGCCUGUCACUCAGGCAGCUCAGUCCAACAAAAGUGUGCAGGCCUACGGCAAAGAUCAGAUGAAGGCUCAGGUUGCGGGGGGAGGGGAGCAGAUGGCUUAAUGAAUCAUCUGUCAGUUGGACCCGGAAGACAGUCAUCGGGACCCACGGAAAGGCUCUGCCCAUCCUAGAGAGGCAGGCUUUGGGCUGGGUCUUCUCCCUGGAGAUGAUGGUGACUUUUUCUAACACGAUGUGUGGAGGAAGGGUGGGUCUCACAGAUGUCUGGAGGCCAAGGGCUGGCUGGCUGCCGUCCGGCUGUCCAACAGAAGCCGUUACCCCUUCUCAUGGGGCCCCUGGCUGGUCUGCAUUCCCAGGCUCCCUCGCAGUAGGUGUGGCUGGGUAACCGUGGUGUCCAACAGAAUCUGGCAGAAGCAGUGUGCACCAGUUUCAGGAGCAGGUCACCCUUCCAGGAGGCUUUUAGGGUUCCCCCUUCUGAUGGCUGAAAUGGGCACAUCAGAGAGACUGUGGAAGACAAAUGUGCAAGAUGACAGGGCAGCCUUCAGCCUGGGGCCCAACCAGGCCCCACCCCGCAGGAGCACUUGCUUGGGCAGGUCAGGGAUAAAUAAGCCGCGGGCUGGCAUGGGCAGCUACGUUUGGGGUCUAUUUGCUACAGUUGUGUAACUUGCACUGAGCAAGAGUUUCAGAACACACAGUGUUCAAAAACACCAGUAAUAGCUUCAGAGAGAAAAGAGAUUUUGUUCUUUAAAAAAAGAAUCUGGGGAAGUGAACUCAGAUUUUUGCUUCCUUCCUCAUAAUUUUAGGUAGUAUUCAAAAAUUUACAAGAAGAUUCAGAAAUAAUAACCAAGAAAACUGCAUUCAUGUGAACAAAUAAAAAUAAGCUUUGGGGCUGGGCACAGUGGCUCGCGCCUGUAAUCCCAGCAUUUUGGGAGGCCAAGGCGGGUGGAUUGCUUGAGGUCAGGCAUUUGAGACCAGCUUGACCAACAUGGUGAAACCCUGUCCCUACUAAAAAUACAAAAAUGAGCUGGGCGUGGUGGCGGGUGCCUGUAAUCCCAGCUACUCAGGAGGCUGAGGCAGGAGAAUCACUUGAAUCCGGGAGGCAGAAGUUGCAGUGAGCCAGGACUGCGUCAUUGCACUCCAACCUGGACAACAAAGUAAGACUCUGUCU